AGACAACUCUCAACAACGGAUAUCUUGGCUCUCGCAACGAUGAAGAACGCAGCGAAAUGCGAUACGUAGUGUGAAUUGCAGAAUUCCGUGAAUCAUCAAAUCUUUGAACGCAAAUUGCGUCCGAGGCUUCGGCCGAGGGCAUGUUUGCCUCAGCGUCGGGUU
rnacentral:rRNA from 9 species